GACGAACGCUGGCGGCGUGCCUAAUACAUGCAAGUCGAGCGCUGAAGGUUGGUUCUUGUACCGUGUUGAUGAGCCGCGCACGGGUGUGUCACGCGUGUAGAAUCUGCCUUUGAUCGGGGUACAACAUGUGGACACGAAUUCAUAUACCGCAUAAGAACUUUAAACAUAAUUUGUAAGUUUGAAAUAUGCAAUUGCAUCACUCACAGAUGAUCUCGCGUUGUAUUAGCUGGGUGGUGAGGUAAAGGCUCAUCAAGGCGAUGAUACAUAGCCAACCUGAGAGGGUGGGCGGCCACAUUGGGACUGAGACACGGCCCAAAGUCCUACGGGAGGGAGCAGUAGGGAAACUUCGGCAAUGGACGGAAGUCAGACCGAGAAACGCCGAGGGAGUGUAGAAGGUUUUCGGGUCGUAAAUCUCUGUUGGUAGAGAAGAACGUGGGUGCGCGUGGAAAGCUCAUCAAGUGACGGUAACUACUAAGAAAGGAACGGCUAACUACGUG
rnacentral:rRNA from 1 species